rnacentral:rRNA from 1 species
CUCGUAGUUGGAUUUGUGGUUGGGUCUGUCGGUCCGGCACAUUGUGCGGGUACUUGAUGGACUCGUCCAUCCUUGGGUGGAAUCUGUGUGGCAUUAAGUUGUCGUGCAGGGGAUGCCCAUCGUUUACUGUGAAAAAAUUAGAGUGUUCAAAGCAGGCUUAUGCCGUUGAAUAUAUUAGCAUGGAAUAAUGAGAUAGGACCUUGGUACUAUUUUGUUGGUUUGCGCACCGAGGUAAUGAUUAAUAGGGACAGUUGGGGGUAUUCGUAUUCCAUUGUCAGAGGUGAAAUUCUUGGAUUUUUGGAAGACGAACUACUGCGAAAGCAU